UAGUGAUGAAAUUCAAACUGAAAUAGCUGGAAUUACCGGCAGAUUGUUCAGUGGUGACGCUCGGUUUUCUGAAU
ensembl:snoRNA small nucleolar RNA SNORD65